CAGUGGGGAAUCGGCAGUGAGGAAGUGAGGAUAUUUAUAUAAUUUGAAUUAUUAUUUUAUAACAUGUUAACUUUUGUGUGUGUGUUGGUGGAGCAGAGACAGGUGGCGCUUGGCAAGGUGAGUGUUUUGGCCGGCGCUGGUCAGUCUUGCCCCACGCACUCUGGUGAUAAGUGUUUCCGUAUUCCCGGCAGCUUCUCCCUGUACCAAGCACCGCCACGCAGCACCAGAGAGCCAUGAGUACGUAAGGUUAUGAUUUUUCCGUUGUCCAGAAAGAAGUCUCAGACCUGAUGGAAGGACACGUUGUUGUGGGUCACACAACGCAGUGACCUGUGCACACUAUACCUCAGCCAUCCACGUUCCAGCACCAGAGACACAUCCAACAUAAGGAGUUGCUGGGCGUGGCCUUCACUGGGAUAAUGAGGAUGGAAGCUGGCAGUGGUGACCACAUCAAAACGUGGCACCACAACACAAUGAAGGCCCGGAAUGUGAACUGGGAGACAAAACACACAAUGAUCCGCUUUGAGGAGGACAAUGUGGCAUUCUCUUGCCUCACAGCAGACUGCAAGUGAGGUGGCCAGAGUUGCGAAGCGAGUGUGGCAGCGAGCCCUGUGCUGCCGACAGUGACGUGUGGGGAGGCCGCGGCGAAGUGUGCGUGUAAGAUUCCAGCAGAGGCGGCAGUCUGUGUGGCGGGGCCUCGGGGGAGAAAGUCUUGGCCUGGCCACCCUGCCUGUGACCUGUGGCCUCUUGUUGCUUCACCAUGUUAAGAGGGUGGUGCUGUGAAGCUGGUGGCACAGGAGCUGACCAGUGCUGCAGGAAGACAGCACACAGCUUCAGUAUCUUCGAUGAUAGUGUUUAAAUAUACUAUGUUGGUUUGUUUAUUAGCAGUCAGAUUAAUUUGCUUGGCUUAGUCUUCAUUUGUUCUUUAUUUAGUGUUGGCAUAUAUAUAAUUGUUUAGUCUUUUAUUUAGGAGAUCAAUUUUUCCCUGCGUGUUUAUUGUGUUGGCAAAUGUCUUCCCCUUUACAAGCUUACUCCUUGUUGUAGGCCAGUUUAAAGUGGAGCAUUUUGACUCCUAAUACUUGACUCACCAUACUCAUCAUCAAGCUGUGUCCUGUACUUCGUGUGUAAGCUUCCAUAUCUUUGAGUCGUGCAUCUAUUACACUUUUCACUAUUCACCUGCACACGUUGAGCCUCGCUACAUUCACGCAGGACGGAACAAAACGAAGCCUGUCCAUUUUGUGUGUCCAUUCUUUAUUGUAGGACUACUUACAAGAUGCAGCAUUUGUAUAUGUAAUGCUGUGUGUGUGUGUGUGUGUGUGUUUGUGUGUGUGUAAGGGGGACACCUAUUGGUAAGGGGCUGUGGGGAGUCACUGUGGGUUUGUAAACAUACUGUGGGGGACAUACUGUGGGGCUGUGGGCUGAGAGAGAGAGAGAGAGAGAGAGAGAGAGAGAGAGAGAGAGAGAGAGAGAGAGAGAGAGAGAGAGAGAGAGAGAGAGAGAGAGAGAGAGAGCUAGCUUGCAUGAAUGAGUGUGAAGUGAAGCAGGUGUUGUUGAAGCAGGGGAGAGGUGUUACUCAGUGUUAUUCAUCACAGGAGAGGUGUUGUUGAUGCAGGGGAGAGGUGUUACUCAGUGUUGUUCACCUUCAUGUCCUGGACACAUGCACGGACUUGUGCCUCUGCAACCUGGCUGGCAGGAGGUGGCGGGGGGGGGUGGCUGGCUGGCUACCCUCUGCAUCACCACUUGCUGGGGGAAAGAAGAGCACCAUUGUCAUCAUCAUUGUUUUCCUUCACAGUGUGCAAGGAAUGGUGGCAGAGGUUGUUGUUGUUGUUGUUUUUGUUGUCUGUUUCUUAUUAAAUGAUGUGUGUGUGUGUUAAAUAAAAGUAGUCCACAGUUA